rnacentral:rRNA from 1 species
GAUGAACGCUAGCUACAGGCUUAACACAUGCAAGUCGAGGGGCAGCGGGAUUGAAGCUUGCUUCAAUUGCCGGCGACCGGCGCACGGGUGAGUAACGCGUAUCCAACCUUCCGUACACUCAGGGAUAGCCUUUCGAAAGAAAGAUUAAUACCUGAUGGUAUGAUGAGAUUGCAUGAUAGCAUCAUUAAAGAUUUAUCGGUGUACGAUGGGGAUGCGUUCCAUUAGGUAGUAGGCGGGGUAACGGCCCACCUAGCCAACGAUGGAUAGGGGUUCUGAGAGGAAGGUCCCCCACAUUGGAACUGAGACACGGUCCAAACUCCUACGGGAGGCAGCAGUGAGGAAUAUUGGUCAAUGGACGAGAGUCUGAACCAGCCAAGUAGCGUGAAGGAUGAAGGUCCUACGGAUUGUAAACUUCUUUAUAAGGGAUAAACCCUCCACGUGUGGGAGCUUGUAUGUACCUUAUGAAUAAGCAUCGGNUAACUCCGUGCCAGCAGCCG